CAAUGAAUUAUAUGAACAUCUCUUAAUUAUCUUUUACGCAACAUCUGCAAGGUUUUACGCAACAUCUGCAAGGUUAUAUAUAAUAUUAUCGACAAGCAAUAUCUAGGGCGAAAUGUAGGAGAAAAUGACAAUUGCAAGGAAAACACCACAUACAUCUCCUCUCCCUCUCUAAGUCUCAAGACAACAAAUAGUGAUAAAUAUUUCCCAACUGAAUGAGCAGGAUAAAUUCCCAAUCUUCCUGUUAUAUGAUAUAUUUUCAACUGAAAUAUACACCAUCUAUUUUCAAUGAAGUUUCCUUCGUAGAUUCCAUCACCAUUUGAAGUUAUUCUCAGCCGACAGCAACCAAAGAACUUUCAUGAUUUCAUUAUGUUUGCGUACAUUCUUCUAGAACCUCCCAAAACCUGGAUGAACAAUUAAUUGAUUCAUGGAAAAAGUCCAGGCAUCCCAAUUCUCAACCGCCUCUGUACCUUCGUUUCCCCGUCGCUAGAGCUGAUACUCAAAAUCUUAGAUUUCUAAAACUACCAAUAUAUACUAAAAAUUUCAUAGAAAUGCGAGAAAUUUAUAAAAAAAAUCUCACUGGCGAUCAUAUGCGUAACAAGAGGGUUGUUGGGGACAUUAACCCCAUUACCUGGAAGAAAUAGAAAAAAUUGUGUUACAUAAAAAUCAUAAAAAUUUAAAGAUUUUGCUCUUUCAAAGUAGAGGUCAACCCUAGUCAUCUCGGAUCUCGGGGAAUCCCCUUAUUUUGUCUAAUCGUGCACAAGCUCGCAGAAAUAUAUGCCGUGCGACUCAUGCGUAUCAAGCUCAAGUAAUAUCAAGUAGUUUGAUAUCAAGCUAUAAAUAUUUCAAAUCGAGUCAACUUCAAGUAAUUUAUUUCUCACGCGCUAUUAGUCAAAAUGUCUAGCUUGUUGACUUGAUGAAUCCCUAUGUUAUAUAUUUAUUUAAAAAACAACAAAAACGAGUUUCUUGUAAAAUUUCAUGUUGGUCGCAUCAACAGAACCAGAGAAAAGCCAAGGUAAAAAAGGUCACAAAAUAUUUCUAUGACCACGGUGAGCGAUUUUGGGUAUAGGUAAAAACUAGCAAUUUCAAACUUCGUGCAGAAAUACGAGCUUAUCACAUCAACAGAAUGGAGUAGACAAAUAUCCAAUAAAUCCAAGAAAUUGAAACCAAGCAAAACUACUUGAAUCUUGAAAACUCUUGUUAACUCUGGAAUAAGAUUCCCAUGGCUUUUUUAUGUCUUUUUAAUUAUUUAAAUCAAUAUUGAUUAUCGAUUUGAGCUUAGCGAUUCUGAAUUCUGUAAACGAAGAGGUUCAUGCUCUGUGUAUAAUGAUUUAUAAAUAAGUAUCCCAUGGAGACUCAAAUCUAUGUACAACCGGUUAGAUCAUUUGUUGAUAGUAAACACUGGAAAUGAAGGUCAAGUUGUUUUUAUAUAUGUGCAAUAUGAUUAUAAAUUCCGUUAUUUGAAAAAUUCUGAUCGUGCAGACAACUUCUUGUGUUUUAAAUAAAAUCUAUUCGAUCGUCUUCUCACAAUGAAAGCUGCCCUGGUGUUGUUGUUCAUCUGCACAUUAUUGCAGAUGACCCUUCCGACUAAUGCAGAAUGUAAAUGUUUCGAAGAGUUCCAUGCCGUGAUACAAAACGGCAAAGAGUUAUGUAGAGGGGA